AACUUCGGGAGAAGGUGCGCCGGCUAGGGUGAAGGAUUUACUCCGUAAGCUCUGGCUGGUCGAAGAUACCAGGCCGCUGCGACUGUUUAUUAAAAACACAGCACUCUGCAAACACGAAAGUGGACGUAUAGGGUGUGACGCCUCCCCGGUGCCGGAAGGUUAAUUGAUGGGGUUAGCGCAAGCGAAGCUCUUGAUCGAAGCCCCGGUAAACGGCGGCCGUAACAAUAACGGUCCUAAGGUAGCGAAAUUCCUUGUCGGGUAAGUUCCGACCUGCACGAAUGGCGUAACGAUGGCGGCGCUGUCUCCACCCGAGACUCAGUGAAAUUGAAAUCGCUGUGAAGAUGCAGUGUAUCCGCGGCUAGACGGAAAGACCCCGUGAACCUUUACUGUAGCUUUGCACUGGACUUUGAGCCUGCUUGUGUAGGAUAGGUGGGAGGCCUUGAAGCGUGGACGCCAGUUCGCGUGGAGCCAUCCUUGAAAUACCACCCUGGCAUGCUUGAGGUUCUAACUCUGGUCCGUAAUCCGGAUCGAGGACAGUGUAUGGUGGGCAGUUUGACUGGGGCGGUCUCCUCCUAAAGAGUAACGGAGGAGUACGAAGGUGCGCUCAGACCGGUCGGAAAUCGGUCGCAGAGUAUAAAGGCAAAAGCGCGCCUGACUGCGAGACAGACACGUCGAGCAGGUACGAAAGUAGGUCUUAGUGAUCCGGUGGUUCUGUAUGGAAGGGCCAUCGCUCAACGGAUAAAAGGUACUCCGGGGAUAACAGGCUGAUACCGCCCAAGAGUUCAUAUCGACGGCGGUGUUUGGCACCUCGAUGUCGGCUCAUCACAUCCUGGGGCUGAAGCCGGUCCCAAGGGUAUGGCUGUCCGCCAUUUAAAGUGGUACGCGAGCUGGGUUUAGAACGUCGUGAGACAGUUCGGUCCCUAUCUGCCGUGGACGUUUGAGAUUUGAGAGGGGCUGCUCCUAGUACGAGAGGACCGGAGUGGACGAACCUCUGGUGUUCCGGUUGUCACGCCAGUGGCAUUGCCGGGUAGCUAUGUUCGGGAAAGAUAACCGCUGAAAGCAUCUAAGCGGGAAACUUGCCUCAAGAUGAGAUCUCACUGGGAACUUGAUUCCCCUGAAGGGCCGUCGAAGACUACGACGUUGAUAGGCUGGGUGUGUAAGCGUUGUGAGGCGUUGAGCUAACCAGUACUAAUUGCCCGUGAGGCUUGAGC
rnacentral:rRNA from 1 species